rnacentral:rRNA from 1 species
UGCUUGGGUAUCUGCCCUGUUGUGGGGGAUAACAGCUGGAAACGGCUGCUAAUACCGCAUAAUAUCUACGGAUCAAAGGUGGCCUCUUCUUGAAAGCUAUCGCGAUAGGAUGAACCCAAGUGGGAUUAGCUUGUUGGUGAGGUAACGGCUCACCAAGGCGACGAUCCCUAGCUGGUCUGAGAGGAUGAUCAGCCACACUGGAACUGAGACACGGUCCAGACUCCUACGGGAGGCAGCAGUGGGGAAUAUUGCACAAUGGGCGAAAGCCUGAUGCAGCCAUGCCGCGUGUGUGAAGAAGGC